rnacentral:lncRNA from 1 species
CAAAUGUUUAUAUCUUUAAGGAUGUUUCUUUUCUUUGAUUAAAAAGUCCCUUUCAGUCCAAGAGUGAAAAAAAAUAUUCUUAUCACUAGGAAUUUGAUGUUCUGCAAAGAAUACAGUUUUGUCAGCAAUAAAAUGGUGUAUUUCAUGUAAGUGUAUGCUUUUGCAGCUCACAAAGCAAGCACAAUGGUUUUUGUCAGUGAGACCAAGAUCCAAUAUAUUGGAGAAAGUGCUCAUAAAAUCUGAUACAGAAUCUAUCUCAAGAAAUAUUUCCCACCCCUUAAAUUUGUCCCCUUCAUUGAGGAGUUGACUUCAUGGUGAAUUACUCCAAAUAGACACUAGCUGCUAUCUUGGCCGCUUCCCUCCAGAAGUUUUCUUUACCUAUUGUCCACCUACAACCCCGUAACCUCAUAAUUCUGGUUUCC